GUAGGUGGCAAGCGUUGUCCGGAAUUAUUGGGGCGUAAAGCGCGCGCAGGCGGUUCUUUUAAGUCUGAUGUGAAAGCCCACGGGCUCAACCGUGGAGGGUCAUUGGAAACUGGAGAACUUGAGUACAGAAGAGGAAAGCGGAAUUCCACGUGUAGCGGUGAAAUGCGUAGAGAUGUGGAGGAACACCAGUGGCGAAGGCGGCUUUCUGGUCUGUAACUGACGCUGAGGCGCGAAAGCGUGGGGAGCAAACAGGAUUAGAUACCCUGGUAGUCCACGCCGUAAACGAUGAGUGCUAAGUGUUAGGGGGUUUCCGCCCCUUAGUGCUGCAGCUAACGCAUUAAGCACUCCGCCUGGGGAGUACGGCCGCAAAGGCUG
rnacentral:rRNA from 1 species